rnacentral:lncRNA from 1 species
AAAAAUGCAAAAUGGCUCCAUAGCGCCCCCUAAGGUGAAAAUUCACAUGACGGCUGUACGCUUUGUCAAAAUGACACAAAAAUUGACACACACAUGUAUCUCAAUAAGAUCUACAAAAAAGUCAGCGCGGGCGUAUCUGUCAAAUGUACGGUUAAUGGGUUAUUUCGCAUUUUUUGCAGAUCUGCACACAUUGGAAUUUCGCUAACUCUUCCGAAGGCUUUCGUUCGACCGGCACCACAUUUGCGCAGGCCAAUCUACCUCCCAUGGCCAUUCAAAGUUGUACAAAUCAUGACGCUGCACCCCACGGUUUAGGUUCUAGAGGGCGCCAAAGAUAACCCAAAAAUCCACAGUCUUAAAAGUCUUAUAACUUUUUAUUUUUGUCCUCACUGGCAUCCAAGUUCUCUAGGAUGAUGCAAUGUCCAGCCAUCAACACAUUUGUGAAGGAAUUUUUACUCCCCAAAAGAGCGCCCCCCCAUGGCAGGAGAAAAAAGUCCAUUUUUUCUUGUCCCCUAACAUGAAAAUACACAUUGUUGAGUGUCACGCCUGAACACUUUGUCAUAUUGACACAAAAUUUGACAAUCACGUGUAUCUCAAUAAGAUCUACGAAAAAGUCAAAGAGCGCGUAUCUGUAUAAUGUACGGUAAAAGGGCUAUUUCGCAUUUUUUGCCGAUUCGCACACAUUGGAAUGUGGCCAACUCCUCCUAAGGCUUUCGUCCCACUGACACCAAAUUUGCUCAGGCCAAUCUACAACCCAUGGCCAUUCAAAGUUGUAAAAAUCAUGACGCUGCACCCCACGGUUUAGGUUCUAGGGGGCGCCAAAGAUGACCCAAAUAUACAUUACAGCAGACAAAGUAGUUUUGCCCACUGAGUGGCGCCAAAGGGACUUGUCUAUUGAGUCUGGAAGUCACUAUUGGCCGUUUUUGACUACUUUAGAUUUUACCUUUAUAUUUCCUCUUAAAUUUUUUUUACCUUGCCUUGCCUGGUAUCAUUUUUUUCAGCACAACCUCACCUGUGUGAAUUUACAGUUAUUUUAUCAUUUUGACAUACUGUAUUUACACAAUGGACCAAAAUUCACACACAAAACAUAAAAUCCGAGUGGAAAAAAGUAACAUUUUUACUGUGAAAACCACAAAUAUGUGUGAUGAACUGUUUUUAAAACUUAAACUUCAAAUAAAAAUUGUAAACUUCAAAACAUAUGCAAAUUUUUAACAAAGAACAUAGUAAUUUACCUCUAUUUACAUCAAAAUGCAGGCAAUGGCCCAGGUGUUCUUUGUAAAAUUAUUUACAAAACACUGUAUAGUCUCACAAAUGUCACUUUUAUUUAUGCCACUACAAAAAAUCAUGAUGUAAAUGAUGCAUGAUGUAAAACAUGAUGUAAAAAACUUGUGUAGAUCCUCCUCUAUGUUAGUCCAUGUGUAAUUUUUCCAUAAUUCUUUGUUUUUUGCAGCAUUUUUGUUAGUGUAACUGCAGAUUGUGCUGACAGUGUCUAUGGCAAAAAAAAAAAAAAACUGAAAAUGCCUCAACAUGAACCCCUGGUGGUCUCUGAGGGUGAAACCUGCUAACUGCUGCAGAUCUGUCAGCUUCAUGCAGAGCUCGGAGCACAUGUGUGGCUCUGCACCAUUAGCAGCGUUGCUAACUCCUCAGUAAGGAAAGCCUGCUUCAUGUCUGAGUCUCUAAACUCCAGAAGAAGUCGAUAAAAGUCCCUUUCUUUCUAAAAAAAAAAGGCGUUAGGUGGUCUGAAAAGUCAUUGAAUCUAACAACAAAGUCGCUAGGUUUGCAACUACGUGUCCCAGACUGCAUCCCUGCUGAGAGUCCCUCCCUCCCUUCUCAUGUUGCAGGAAGACCGUAAGCGCCCGCCCCUUGUCAAUCAGUCACCAUAUAAUUUUGGAUUGGUUGUUGUGGUGAAGUUUUCCACCAAUAGGAGAGAUGUUGUGGUGUGUUUUUUUUUCUUUUGGCAAGCCUUUUCCGCCUGUAAGACCUGUCGCUAAUGUCUGCAUGCUAUGGUUUCCUGUCUCAUACAGCGCGAUCGAGCGCCGAACGUGAUCAAAAUAAGCAGAAAAAAAGUAUCGCAGACAUAAUUUAUCAUAACUCUGGUUUUAUUUGGCCUAUCAACACAAUUUAAAAACUGGUAUAUAGUUUAAGGUCCUCACUUUGGAGAUACGUUGAAACGGAGAGUCAACGAGGCUCCAUCUUGCAGCUACAUCCGGUUAAAUAUGUCAUGUGACUUGAACGCUGGGGAGCGUCAAUCGACUGCAGAGCCAGCAGACAAAGUAGUUAUGGCCAUUGAGAGGCACACAUUUGUCACAUGCUAUAAUCCUAACAUAUUUUAAUGCUUUUUCUAUUUAAACCUAAUGGAUCUAAGGUUUGAGCUUCAAAAUUUAGGAAGAAUAUGUUUUUGCAGUAAUGACCCCCUUAAACAACCAGAGGUCCUUUCCUAAAGUUUAUGGAAAUUUUAGUGAAGGCCUUGGUUUCUGUCCUUGCAAAAUGCAUAGAAAUAAUAAAGCUAAAUACCAUAAAAUGGUCUUGGCGUAUUAGCAGUGAUAUAAAAUAGUGGUUUGAAUAUGAAUGAACAACAAAAAAAAACAUCAACAGAGCCUUUUUGUGUUGGGAUUCUUUCAUUCUUACACAAAAACAGACAUAGACAGACAUCUAAAGGGUAAGGGAAUGAUCAGCCC